rnacentral:rRNA from 1 species
UGAGGAAUAUUGGGCAAUGCCCGCAAGGGUGACCCAGCAACGCCGCGUGGAGGAUGAAUGUCGUAAGAUUGUAAACUCCUGUUAGAGGGGAAGAAUAGUACCGGUUGGACCGGUAUAUGACUGUACCCUCAGAGAAAGCCCCGGCUAACUACGUGCCAGCAGCCGCGGUAAUACGUAGGGGGCAAGCGUUGUCCGGAUUUACUGGGUGUAAAGGGCGCGCAGGCGGGAUAAAAAGUCAGUGGUGAAAUCCUACAGCUUAACUGUAGAACUGCCUUUGAUACUUUUAUUCUUGAGUUCGGGAGAGAGAGACGGAAUUCCAGGUGUAGUGGUGAAAUACGUAGGUAGCUGGAAGAACACCAGUUGCGAAGGCGGUCUCUUGGUCCGACACUGACGCUGAGGCGCGAAAGCGUGGGGAGCAAACA